rnacentral:rRNA from 1 species
UACGUAGGGUGCAAGCGUUGUCCGGAAUUAUUGGGCGUAAAGAGCUCGUAGGCGGUUUGUCGCGUCUGCUGUGAAAACUGGAGGCUCAACCUCCAGCCUGCAGUGGGUACGGGCAGACUAGAGUGCGGUAGGGGAGAUUGGAAUUCCUGGUGUAGCGGUGAAAUGCGCAGAUAUCAGGAGGAACACCGGUGGCGAAGGCGGAUCUCUGGGCCGAUACUGACGCUGAGGAGCGAAAGCGUGGGGAGCGAACAGG